rnacentral:hammerhead_ribozyme from 1 species
AUCCAGCUGACGAGUCCCAUAUACGACGAAACGCGCGUCCUGGAU